AGUCGAGGGGCAGCGAGCGGGUAGCGAUACCCGCGUCGGCGACCGGCGCACUGGUGAGUAACACGUAUGCAACCUGCCCUCCGCAGGGGAAUAAACCGGGGAAAUCUGGUCUAAUGCCCCAUAGUCCCCGGGUCCGCAUGGGCCCGGGGGGAAAGAUCCGUCGGCGGGGGAUGGGCAUGCGGCGCAUUAGCUUGUUGGCGGGGCAGCGGCCCACCAAGGCGACGAUGCGUAGGGGUUCUGAGAGGAAGGUCCCCCACACUGGUACUGAGACACGGACCAGACUCCUACGGGAGGCAGCAGUGAGGAAUAUUGGUCAAUGGGCGGGAGCCUGAACCAGCCAAGUCGCGUGAGGGAUGACGGUCCUACGGAUUGUAAACCUCUUUAGCCGGGGAGUAACGUGUCCCACGCGUGGGGCAGUGAGAGUACCCGGAGAAUAAGCAUCGGCUAACUCCGUGCCAGCAGCCGCGGUAAUACGGAGGAUGCGAGCGUUAUCCGGAUUUAUUGGGUUUAAAGGGUGCGCAGGCGGCGCUCCAAGUCAGCGGUCAAAUGCCCGGGCUCAACCCGGGUCCGCCGUUGAUACUGGGGUGCUCGAGUGCGUGCGAGGGAGGCGGAAUGCGUGGUGUAGCGGUGAAAUGCAUAGAUAUCACGCAGAACCCCGAUUGCGAAGGCAGCCUUCCAGCACGCCACUGACGCUGAGGCACGAAAGCGUGGGUAUCGAACAGGAUUAGAUACCCUGGUAGUCCACGCAGUAAACGAUGAAUACUAGCUUUGCGCCCCUUACAGUGGGGAGCGAGGCGCAGCGAAAGCGUUAAGUAUUCCACCUGGGGAGUACGCCGGCAACGGUGAAACUCAAAGGAAUUGACGGGG
rnacentral:rRNA from 1 species